rnacentral:lncRNA from 1 species
AUGGCACCUGCCCGUUUGGUUCUGGCCUGGUUUCUGUUCACCGUGAGGACGGGCACCUCGGCAGAGGUUCUGCAGCCGGAGGAGGCUGAGCUCAAUGAGACGGUCGUCUGCACCAACGACCACAUGGAGGUCGUUCUUCCCGCCGCCUUCUUCCUCAACAAAGUGCCUCCAGUUUAUGUUUGGGAUUUGCAUCUGAAUGAUCCGGAGUGCCGCGGCGUGGAGGUCGGAGACGACUACGUUUUCAGCAUCAAGACGAAUCUCUCCGACUGCGGGACGAUCAUGGCCUCGGAUGACUCACACAUCCUGUUCAUUAACACGAUACACAACAACGCCUCGGAGGUCAUCACCAGAAACUACAUCAACAUCACGUUCGUCUGCAGAUACCCCGUCAACUACCUGGUACAGCAGCCUGCAGGGGAGAACAGGAUUCGGGUGGACAUCAGGUACAGCUUCACUUCCACUUCAGCUCUCACACUUCAAACUCUUCAUCUUCCUUUAUUCCUCCUCUCGCUGCAGAACCAUCACUCUGAACACGGAGGACGGGAACUUCUCCGUGUCCAUGUUGCUGUACAAAGACGACGCGUUCGAGGACCGAUGGACCACCGUGCCAUCGCUCACGCUGGAGGACGACAUCUUUGUCAAAGUGUUCAUGGUAAGAAACCUUACAGUCUUUUAUUUUAUGAUACCUUAUGUCAAUGUACUUAUUUUAUUUAAUCAAUUAAUAGACACCUUAUGAUUGUGUACAAC